rnacentral:rRNA from 1 species
UAGGGAAUAUUGCGCAAUGGGGGAAACCCUGACGCAGCAACUCCACGUGUGGGAAGAAGCAUUUCGGUGUGUAAACCACUGUCGAUAGGGAAUAAACGCCGUCUUCGGACGGCCUGAAUGUACCUACAAAGGAAGCACCGGCAAACUUCGUGCCAGCAGCCGCGGUAAUACGAGGGGUGCAAGCGUUGUUCGGAAUCACUGGGCGUAAAGGGAGCGUAGGCGGAGCUCCAAGUCGGCCGUUCAAUGCCGGGGCCCAACCCCGGACCUGCGACCGAUACUGGAGCUCUUGAGUCAUUCAGAGGCAAGCGGAAUUCCUGGUGUAGCGGUGGAAUGCGUAGAGAUCAGGAAGAACACCAAUGGCGAAGGCAGCUUGCUGGGGAUUGACUGACGCUGAGGCUCGAAAGUGUGGGUAGCAAACAGG